ACAAACUUGGUCAUUUAGAGGAAGUAAAAGUCGUAACAAGGUUUCCGUAGGUGAACCUGCGGAAGGAUCAUUAACGAGUUCUGACAUGGGUUGUAGCUGGCCUCACGAGGCAUGUGCACGCCCUGCUCAUCCACUCUACACCUGUGCACUUACUGUAGGUUUGGCGUGGGCUUCGAGGGCCUUCACGGGCUUUUGAGGCAUUCUGCCUGCCUAUGUAUCACUACAAACACUAUAAAGUAACAGAAUGUAAUCGCGUCUAACGCAUCUUAAUACAACUUUCAGCAACGGAUCUCUUGGCUCUCGCAUCGAUGAAGAACGCAGC
rnacentral:misc_RNA from 1 species